GACCCCUCGCUAACCUCUGAGGAAAUGACAGACUCGAUGCCUGGGCACCUGCCAUCGGAGGAUUCUCGUUAUGGGAUGGAGAUGCUGACAGAUAAGCCAAGGCCAUUGGCAUCUCGGAACCCAUCAAGGUGCUGUACUCCAAGUUUCUGAUGCACCCGGAGGAGCUGUUUGUGGUGGGGCUGCCCGAAGGCAUCUCCCUCCGCAGACCCAACUGCUUCGGGAUCGCCAAGCUCUGGAAGAUUCUGGAGGCCAGCAACAGCAUCCAGUUUGUCAUCAAGAGGGCCCAAGCUGCUCACUGAGGGAGUCAAAGAGCCCAUCGUGGAUAGUCAAGGAGAGGGAUUCCAGGGACCCUCUGGUGGGCGAGAGCCUGAAGAGACAGGGCUUUCAAGAAAAUUACGACGCGAGGCUCUUACGGAUUGACAUUGCCAACACGCUAAGGGAGCAGGUCCAGGAGCUUUUCAAUAAGACAUAUGGGAAGCCUUGGGCAUCAAGUACCCGGUUCAGGUCCCCUACAAGUGGAUCAAGAGUAACCCCGGCUCCAUGAUCAUCGAGGAGCUGCCACCAGGAAUCCUGUUCCGAAAGCCCUUCGGCUCCCAGAACCUGGAGAGGAUUCUUGCCAUGGCCAACAAGAUCACGUUCACAGUCACCAGGGGCCUUUCCAAGGACUCAUCCGAAAGCCUGGAUGAAGAUGAUACCAACAGACUUGGGGAGG
rnacentral:lncRNA from 1 species